AACAUAAUCGUUGCCAACAUUUCCACCACGGGGGCGCUGCGGUAAAGACGAAUAAAAGAAUAAACAAAAGAAUCAAAGAAUAGAUAAACAAAUAAAGAAACAAAACAGAUAAAAAAAAAGCCAGCCCAGAACCAACCACGCCCAAAACCAACUCCAACCUCGCUGCCACCAUUUCCACCAUUUCGCGGCGCUGCGUUGCACCUGAUUCUGAGUUGCUGACCGGUGGUGUAAAUAACAGUAAAUAACAGGUAUGAAUAACGUGAUCAAAACGAGGCUUUUUGGUGCACUUAGCAAUAAAGAUUGAAAUGAA